AUAAUUGAACGCGAAAAUAAUUUGGAGUUAUCCCCCUUCAACUGAAGAGUCUAAGAAGGAGACGAUGUCGAAGAAAUAAUAAUAAGAAAUCCAGAAUUAAUUCAGAAAGUGUGCAGAUCACAAUUAGUACAGUAAUCCGAGAGUUUGGUUGAAGAGUAUGAAAUGGAGAAGGAUAGUUGUGGGUACAGUUACUUUUAUAAUACCAACUACAAUAGCUUUCUUUGAUAUUGUCGGCUAUGUCGCCAAAGUGGAAGGAGCAUCUAUGCAGCCUGUUUUGAAUCCAGAAAUAUCGACAGACAAGAAACCUAUAUCAGAUUUUGUAUUGCUAAAUCGAUGGAAAACUCAUGGGAUGCAGUUUAAAAGAGGAGAAAUUGUAUCACUGUCAUCUCCAACAGAUCCAGAUCAUAAACUGAUAAAAAGAAUAAUAGCUUUAGAUGGGGAUCUAAUCAAAACAGCUGGUUAUAAAUCACCACAUGUUCGUGUACCUGAAGGAUAUUGCUGGGUAGAAGGUGAUCAUCAGAAAC